UGUGUUAGUUGCCCACUAAUACCUAUAUUAAAGAAUACAUAAAAUAGCAUGUCAUGGGACCUUUAACACGCGUUUACUCAAAUUUCCUUAUAAGUGGAGUGACAAAAAAAAAUCGGCCUCACAUCAUACCACUUGCCUAUUCCAGUAGGAAAACGAUAGGUGGCAACUCCCAUGAAAAUUGGUGCCUAAUAUGUUUCCUUCCAUUUCUCAUAGGGGACCUUAUACCAGAGGGUGAGCUGGCUUGGCAAGUGAUACUAGACCUGAAGGAAAUCGUAGAGUUGGUUGUGGCACCUGUUCACACGCACGAGACCAUUGCGUACCUUGAUGUCAAAGUGUCUGAGCACAGACACAGGUUGCUUGAGCUUAUCCCAGGUAUCAGCACCAUUUUGGGGCGUUCCAGUUAACAUUGUCACCAGGAAGAGAGGUUGCCCUUGUUCAGCUUGAGGAGCUGACGGAUUACUGUCCACUUGUGGCCUACACAGUCGGAUCCAGACGUAUGGGGACCCUGAAGAGACACAUCGUCAUUACAGAUUAGCAAAGCAGGAUGGCAGCACGAGUAACCUUCAGAGUCCUCUUUGGAGGUGAAGAGGAUGCAAGAAAACUCUCCAUUGAAUCCGGAAUACCAAGAACUGUGGAGGACUUGGCUCUUAAAAUCAAGACUUUCUUUGAAGUGACUGCGAAGUUCAGACUUCAGUACAAAGACAAAGACAUGGAUAAUCAGUUCAUGAAUUUCUUGUCAACAUCAGAACUUGAAGAUAAAGGGACGUUGAAAGUGGUGUACAUGCUUUGUGAGACAACCAGGUCCGCUCCACUCACGGAAGAUGCCUGCUGCACAAUCCCAGCCGAGCUGGACACCCCGAGGUUGCCAUCAACUCUCUGAAAAACAAGCAAAGUGGCCAGCAGUCUCCAGCAGCCAACAUCAAGAAGCCCAGGAAGGGAGAUGUACAUUUCUGUCCGAACAUCCCUAGUGGUGAAACAAAACACAGUUAGGAGAUGGAAAGGGUGGCUCUACUGAUGGAGUAAAAAAUAAGAAAAGGGAUGAGGCCCUCAUCAAGGAAAAGAUGCAGCGUACAUUCUCCCUCAGGAGACAGGAGGUUCUCCAGGAGCCAAAGAUUCCAGAGUUUUUCAAUAAAUGGCCAGCACUCUUUGACGUCAUUGAGGCAAGUGUGAAUCUGAAGUUUAGUAACUUGUGUAUUCAAUGUCACACAUUGUCACAUAUGUGG